rnacentral:rRNA from 1 species
UACGGGUAGGUGCAAGCGUUAUCCGGAUUCACUGGGUUUAAAGGGUGCGUAGGAGGGCAGGUAAGUCAGUGGUGAAAUCCUGGGGCUUAACCCCAGACUGCCGUUGAUACUAUCGGUCUUGAAUGUCGUGGAGGUGAGCGGAAUAUGUCAUGUAGCGGUGAAAUGCUUAGAUAUGACAUAGAACACCAAUUGCGAAGGCAGCUU